CGGGGUGCAGCAGGCGCGAAAACUUUGCAAUGCGGGAAACCGUGACAAGGGAACUCUGAGUGCCCGUAAAAUCGGGCUGUCCAUCGGUUUAAAUAACCGGUGAAGAAAGGGCCGGGCAAGACCGGUGCCAGCCGCCGCGGUAAUACCGGCGGCUCGAGUGGUGGCCACUAUUACUGGGCUUAAAGCGUUCGUAGCUGGUCUGUUAAGUCUCUGGGGAAAUCUUCCGGCUUAACCGGAAGGCGUCUCAGGGAUACUGGCAGACUAGGGACCGGGAGAGGUGAGAGGUACUCCAGGGGUAGGAGUGAAAUCCUGUAAUCCUUGGGGGACCACCUGUGGCGAAGGCGUCUCACCAGAACGGCUCCGACUGUGAGGGACGAAAGCUGGGGGAGCAAACCGGAUUAGAUACCCGGGUAGUCCCAGCUGUAAACGAUGCGCGUUAGGUGUAUCGGUGACCACUAGUCACCGAGGUGCCGAAGAGAAAUCGUGAAACGUGCCGCCUGGGAAGUACGGUCGCAAGGCUGAAACUUAAAGGAAUUGGCGGGGGAGCAC
rnacentral:rRNA from 1 species